AAAUCUUCUUUAAUAAUGAUACACAGUCACCCUGGGCCUCUCACAGUGUCCCAUGCUAGAGCAAACUGUGGCCCCUAACCAUUGCCCGGCCUCUGUGCCUAUAGGCUGCUGGCACUGAAGUGGGUCACUGAUGG